AUGGGAUCCGGCCCUAAAAUCGGGCUUGGUGCUCCCCGAGAUGGGGAAGAUCCUCCCCAGCACCUGAUCCAGCCCCAAAAUUGCACUCUCCAGCCCCAAAAUCAUGCUCAGGGCUCACCAAGAUGGGGAGGAUCCUCCUGGACACCUGAUCCAGCCCCAAAACCACACUCUCCAGCCCCAAAACCACACUCUCCAGCCCCAAAAUCUUGCUCAGCACCCAUAAAGAUGGGGAAGAUCCUCCUGGGCACCCGAUCCAACCCCAAAACCACACUCUCCAGCCCCAAAAUCACGCUCAGCACCCACCGAGAUGGGAAAGAUCCUCCUGGGCACCGGAUCCAGCCCCAAAACCACACUCUCCAGCCCCAAAAUCAUGCUGAGCGCUCUGUGAGAUGGGGAAGAUCCUCCUGGGCAUCUGAUCCAGCCCCAAAACCACACUUUCCAGCCCCAAAAUCAUGCUCAGGGCUCACCAAAAUGGGUAGGAUCCUCCUGGACACCUCAUCCAGCCCCAAAACCACACUCUCCAGCCCCAAAAUCAUGCUCAGCACCCAUAAAGAUGGAGAAGAUCCUCCCCAGCACCCGAUCCAGACCCAAAACCGUACUCUCCAGCCCCAAAAUCACACUUGGUGCUCCCUGAGAUGGGGAAGAUCUUCCCAGGCACCUGAUCCAGCCCCAAAACCACACUCUCCAGCCCCAAAAUCACACUCAGCACCCACUGAGAUGGGGAAGAUCCUCCUGGGCACCUGAUCCAGCCCCAAAAUCUUGCUCUCCCACCCCAAAAUCACACUUGGGGCUCACCGAGAUUGAGAGGAUCCUCCCCAGCACCCGAUCCAACCCCAAAACUGUACUCUCCAGCCCCAAAAUCACACUUGGUGCUCCCUGAGAUGGGGAAGAUCUUCCCAGGCAUCUGAUCCAGCCCAAAAACCACACUCUCCAGCCCCAAAAUCUUGCUCAGCACCCAUAAAGAUGGGGAAGAUCCUUCUGGGCACCCGAUCCAGCCCCAAAACCACACUCUCCAGACCCAAAACCACACUCUCCAGCCCCAAAAUCAUGCUGAGCGCUCCAUGAGAUGAGGAAGAUCCUCCUGGGCACCUGAUCCAGCCCCAAAACCACACCCUCUAGCCCCAAAAUCAUGCUCAGCACCCAUAAAGACGGGAAAGAUCCUCCUGGGCACCCGAUCC
rnacentral:lncRNA from 1 species